rnacentral:tRNA from 1 species
AAAUUAGUUUAAUUAAAAUAUAAAUCUGUCAGGKUUAUGAAACUUUUGAGUAUUUUUC